GGCGGGGCGAGUCGGCCUCGGGCGCCGCGGGCUGUCUCCGCCAGUGGAUGUCGCUCCCGGGCUGCAGGGCCCGAGCCGAGCGCCCCGGGCUGCCGGCGCACUGGGCGAGGCGUGGGCCCCGCGGGCUGGAAGGGCCUGGCCGGCCGCUGCCUCUGCCGGCGGCGCGCCCCGAGAAACUCCUCGACUGCGGGGGGCACCGGCCUCGCCGCCAACAGGCCUCUGAGCUCCGGGCUUGGCAGGCUGGCGAGGUCUCCAGCACCGCUGCCGCCACCACCCCGCAACUGGCAGACCCUGGCCUCAGACAGACCCGGGUCCCAGUCGAGGCUCAGCCACGGCCAGCUUUGCAGGAGUGACCGUGCGUAGAGUCUCACAUUCUAGUCCCUACCGCCUCACCCGUACCUGGGGUACAGUAACGCCUAGCGUCACACGGGCUGGUGGGGCGCCCCAGAGGAGGCGACCGGGCCAAGCUCCUCCCAGCACUCGAUCAAUUCUGAUUCCAAGGCCACCGUUCUCAGGCCGCCAGACAAGAGAUGCUGUCAAUGGACACCAGACUCCCAGCCCCGUCCAGAACCCCAAAUGCAAUCCGUUCUUUCUGUUCCCUCCUCGCGCCCCUACCUGGGUAUGGAACUGCAGGGCGGUGCUCCCGGGGCGCAGCAGGAACGCGGCCCUGCCCUCUCCCCUCAGUGGUCCAGACCCCCACCCACCGUGGCCGCGCUCCAUAACAAUGGGACUGCACGGAGGUCAUUUUAGCUUUCUUAGCAUAUUGGGGAGCCCAGGACGCCCGAGGUGUACCUCGGCCUGCAGCUCAGGGCUCCCCCCAGCCCCCGCGGCCCCUCAUCGCAAGCUUCUCUGGCCAGCUGGCCGCUGUGGCGCUCAGCCCGGACCGCAGCCUCGCCGAGGCCCGCAAGUCUGGAGGCCGAGCGCCCCCUCCCUCCCGAUCCGAGGAACCGACCCGGAGGUGCGCAGGGCCGCUCUCGAGGUGCAAAAAGGGGGCUGGUCUGGCUUUACCAGCCCAAAGUCGGAAGCAGGAGCCCCGAAAGGGCAGCCCUUUGACUCCUUAGGGCCUUCUCCAGACCCCAAUCCUCUGCCACUCCCAAACUCACAGCACCCCGUGCCCUUGGGUUUCCACCUUUCGCCCUGUCCCAAAGCCUGUGACCCUUGGGCAGAAAGGGGAUGCUUCUGCCUCCUGGGCAGCCUGGGCCACCACCUUCUGAACCAGGCCGGACCCACCUUUAUGAUUUUCCUUGCAUCUUCCACCGGGCACACAUGCUGUGGUCUUCUGGCUCUUUCCAUCAUCACAGCCCCCAACCUACUUGGCAAACUCAUGCUCAGUCUUCAAGACCCAGCCCAGUCUCUUCUCCUUGGUGAAGCCCGCUAUGACCUUCUGGUGCCCUGAAUCGCCACUUGCCAGAGCCCCUCGCCAUCUGAACAGAAGAGCUUUCGUGCCAGACCAGACGAGACGGCCUGCCCACCAGCAGCCCCAGGCACAGGAGCGGGACAGCCUGGAGUUCAGCAGGAUCGAGCCCAGGAGCUGCAAGGGACCAGUGACCACCAGCUGACCUUUGUAAACGCCCAGACACCAGCACAGAGCCCUCUCAGGAAGCCCCAAGGCCGCCUCAUGUCUUUGUGGUCCCGAGGCAAGUCCGUGAUAAGAGAGUGGGCCUGGGGGGGUUACUUGGACGAGGCAGCCCCGUAUUUCUCACCAGGGCAGCUGGGCGGUGCCCACCUUCCGAGAGCCCCAGCAGCCCUCCACAUCCUCAAGUCCCCAGCCGUGGUCUCCAAGGAUGCUGGUCAUCUCUGAAACUCAGGAGCUCCAGGGCUGAGGCCGCCUAUGCUACGGAGCAGCCGUGCCCGGUACCCAGCUUGGCGCGACGUGUGAGCCGAAAUCAGCGCAUCCCACGUACCGGUGAUGCUGAGG